GAUGAACGCUGGCGGCGUGCUUAACACAUGCAAGUCGAACGGUGAACGAGGGAGCUUGCUCCCUCCGGAUCAGUGGCGAACGGGUGAGUAACACGUGAGCAAUCUGCCCUGGACUCUGGGAUAAGCGUUGGAAACGACGUCUAAUACCGGAUACGAGGCGUGGGGGCAUCCCCAACGCCUGGAAAGAACUUCGGUCCAGGAUGAGCUCGCGGCCUAUCAGCUAGUUGGUGAGGUAACGGCUCACCAAGGCGACCCCGGGUAGCCGGCCUGAGAGGGUGACCGGCCACACUGGGACUGAGACACGGCCCAGACUCCUACGGGAGGCAGCAGUGGGGAAUAUUGCACAAUGGGCGCAAGCCUGAUGCAGCAACGCCGCGUGAGGGACGACGGCCUUCGGGUUGUAAACCUCUUUUAGCAGGGAAGAAGCGAAAGUGACGGUACCUGCAGAAAAAGCACCGGCUAACUACGUGCCAGCAGCCGCCGUAACAC
rnacentral:rRNA from 1 species